UCACGUCGUUCGUUCUGCGG
rnacentral:snRNA from 1 species